ACGAAGGGGGCUAGCGUUGUUCGGAUUUACUGGGCGUAAAGCGUAUGUAGGCGGCAUAUCAAGUCAGGGGUGAAAUCCCGGGGCUCAACCUCGGAACUGCCUUUGAUACUGAUACGCUAGAGUGUGAUAGAGGAUAGUGGAAUUUCCAGUGUAGGGGUAGAAUCCGUAGAUAUUGGAAGGAACACCAGUGGCGAAAGCGGCUAUCUGGAUCACAACUGACGCUAAAGUACGAAAGCGUGGGGAGCAAACAG
rnacentral:rRNA from 1 species